rnacentral:rRNA from 1 species
CCUACGGGUGGCUGCAGUGGGGAAUAUUGCACAAUGGGGGAAACCCUGAUGCAGCGACGCCGCGUGGGUGAAGAAGCGCCUCGGUGCGUAAAGCCCUGUCAGCAGGGAAGAAAAUGACGGUACCUGAACAAGAGUCCCUGGCUAACUACGUGCCAGCAGCCGCGGUAAUACGUAGGGUGCAAGCGUUAUGCGGAUUUACUGGGUGUAAAGGGGGCGCAGACGGCGAUGCAAGCCAGGAGUGAAAGCCCGGGGCCCACCCCCGGGACUGCUCUUGGAACUGGGUGGCUAGAGUGCAGGAGGGGCAGGCGGAAUUCCUGGUGUAGCGGUGAAAUGCGUAGAUAUCAGGAGGAACACCGGUGGCGAAGGCGGCCUGCUGGACUGCAACUGACGUUGAGGCCCGAAAGCGUGGGGAGCAAACAGGAUUAGAUACCCCAGUAGUC